UCGUGGUCUGGGUAAAAGGAACCUAGCCCAAUCCCCUUCCAUCCCACGCAGCCACUCCUCUCGUCUUCUUCUCUACAUUCCGCCGCCGCUGCUCGCAGCUCUGCCUCCCUGCCUGGCACCAGAGAAGAGCUGCUCCGCCUCCUCGCCUCACCUCCUCCUCCUCUCUUCCUCAGGGCGCCAGGAGCACGGCCUCGAUCUGGAGAAGGAGAGGCCAGGAGUGUGGCCUCGAUCUGGAGAAGGGGAGCAGCCGCCGACCCACUCCGGCGAUCCCGGCGGCCAUCUAGCACCUUCCCGUGCUCUCCUAUCAUUGCUCUACCACCUCCACUGCACUAAUUCGGCCUGCAGGUCCUCCAACGUCAUCCACGGCUAACCCUAGCCGCUCGGACUGCUGGUGUGCGGCGUCGCCAUGGACGCCGGCGCGGCGCCCGCACCUCCGACUGUUUCCUCCGACGCUGUACGCUGCCUAUGGGGCAUCCACCUCCAGGAUGGUGGCAAAAGAGGGACUCUUUGGCGACGGAGAGCUCGGGAUUCAUCACCCCCAACUGAAUCCACCAUUCCAUUGCCAUCACAAGUUCGAAAUUUCCCAUUGCCUUGCAGUUUGUUUGAUUCGUUGAUGUUGCUGUCCUAUAGUCCUGAAUGGGUCCCCAGCCCCAGGCAAAGCAAUCUCAGUGGAAUCAUGGAGAUCAAAAGAUUUUGCUAUGUCGAUAUAAUUCUAUGAAUUAUAUAUUUUCUUCCUGGAGAGUAACCUGUGUAAUCUUUGAAAGCAGCCUCUGCAUGUUUAUGGCCUCUCAGCUUCGUGCUUAUGGUGCGGCUGCGUGGAAGCCGGUGACAAGUACGGCCGCUCUCUACUCGCCUCUAAUAUGUAUGGCUUAACUCCCUCAAGAAAAGGAGUCUUUGCAAGCUUGCGUAUCAUUCAUUGAUAGGUAGAAGAGAACAAACAGAGACAUACAUGGGAAAAUAAGAAGGGCACCACACAAGGUGUGGGAAAAACAAAGAGAGAUACACACAGCACAAAGCUCUCCUAGCUCGAGCUCCAGCCGACAGGCAAAGAGACGAGAUACAAGGCAUCUAGACCGCGUCACGACCGACGCCGAGCACCAUCAUCGCACAACCACAACUCCAGGCCGGACCGAAUCAACGUACCUCCCACCUAUGCGCCUAGAGGAUCGGCAAGUGGGGUGCAGGACAAGGCCGGAUUAGGAGGAGAAGCCAUGGAGACAGCGCCGUCGAAGCCAUACAUUGCGCCCCGGAUGCCCACGUCAAUCAUUUUUUUAUUGACGCUUGGUGGAGGUGCCAUGAUUUAUGAAUUAAGCUAUCUGAUGAUGACAACGCUUAUAUUUUAUAGUUUUACCUUUUUUAUUCCCUUUAGAAUUAACAUGUAUCAUUUAAAAAAAAUGAAUUUCUGACGUUUACGAUUUGGUGUGUGUACGUGCCUUAUUACAGGAAUAAAUAACGCACACCAUAAUGAUAUGCCAUUGAGUUGACUUGAGCACUUAGCAAAGAAAGAAAAGAGAGCAUUGGAGACAGAGUCCAACGCUGAGCAGUGCCUUUGUGAAGUCUAUAGGGACUAUAGGGACGGAAGAUGCUAUUCAUCAUGGCAUUAUGGUGAUAUUCUGCUAAAAGAUGAAAGCAUAUGCGUUCGUCUUCAAAUGCACUUCCAAGGGACUGCGCCUGAUCGUCUACUCAUUGUAAGCAAAUUGCAAGAGCCCCCUUGUUAUAUAACUUAGCAUUAGUAUAGAUGCCUACCAAGACUUCUAUGUUUAUCAUCCGUUUGGAUCUUAUGUAAUCCCCUAAGACCAUCCUGUGCAUUUAAAUAUCGGUUAUUUCCUGCUUA